UACGUAGGUGGCAAGCGUUGUCCGGAAUUAUUGGGCGUAAAGCGUGCGCAGGCGGUUCCUUAAGUCUGAUGUGAAAGCCCCCGGCUCAACCGGGGAGGGUCAUUGGAAACUGGGGAACUUGAGUGCAGGAGAGGAAAGCGGAAUUCCACGUGUAGCGGUGAAAUGCGUAGAUAUGUGGAGGAACACCAGUGGCGAAGGCGGCUUUCUGGUCUGUAACUGACGCUGAGGCGCGAAAGCGUGGGGAGCAAACAGG
rnacentral:rRNA from 1 species